rnacentral:misc_RNA from 1 species
AAUCCAUAUAGCUGACCCCAACUAUUUAGGAAUAAGCUGAUGAAAAAUCUUAAUGGAAUCAGUUAACGAGUAAGGCCACAAUAAAAGUUAGAAUAGAUGUUGAACAAGAGAAACAAAUUCUAAUAUGUGGACUGAUGAUUCUUUAGAACAGAUUCACAAAAGAGUCUUAAAUCAAUACCAUUGACCGCAAAAGAAUCAAAAUUUAAGCAU